UGUUUAUGUUGAUCUAGUGCAUAUGAGUAGUUAAUGCAUGCAAAUCUAGUAUCUGUAAGCUGUAAUCUAGUUUAGUCUGCUGGUGAUAGGUAUUAAACUAUUGUUGCUACAUUUUCUGUGGCUAAUGUUUAUUUUAUUACUAAUUUACUAUUGUUAAAUUUAUUGCUGCUUUUUCCCUGGCUUGCUUGUGGUUGCAAUUGCAAGGUGAUAACUUUGAUAUUUUAUAGAUAAUUGCCCUUCGAAGAGCCAA
rnacentral:misc_RNA from 1 species